UACGAAGGCCCCAAGCGUUAUCCGGAAUUACUGGGCGUAAAGCGUCUGUAGGUGGUUUCUUAAGUCUUUCCGUGAAAAUCCAGGGCUCAACCCUGGACUGCGGGGGAAACUGGGGAACUUGAGUGUGGGAGGGGCAAGCAGAACGGUAAGAGUAGGGGUGCAAUCCGUUGAUACUUACCAGAAUACCAAAAGCGAAGGCAGCUUGCUGGAACACUACUGACACUGAGAGACGAAAGCGUGGGGAGCAAAAGGG
rnacentral:rRNA from 1 species